GUUAAUGUAGCUUAAAUUAAAGCAAGGCACUGAAAAUGCCUAGACGGGUUACAUAACCCCAUAGACA
rnacentral:tRNA from 1 species